rnacentral:rRNA from 1 species
GCUUAGUGGUGGGGUGACUGCGUACCUUUUGUAUAAUGGGUCAGCGACUUAUAUUCUGUAGCAAGGUUAACCGAAUAGGGGAGCCGGAGGGAAACCGAGUCUUAAUUGGGCGUUAAGUUGCAGGGUAUAGACCCGAAACCCGGUGAUCUAGCCAUGGGCAGGUUGAAGGUUGGGUAACACUAACUGGAGGACCGAACCGACUAAUGUUGAAAAAUUAGCGGAUGACCUGUGGCUGGGGGUGAAAGGCCAAUCAAACCGGGAGAUAGCUGGUUCUCCCCGAAAGCUAUUUAGGUAGCGCCUCGUGAAUUCAUCUCCGGGGGUAGAGCACUGUUUCGGCUAGGGGGCCAUCCCGGCUUACCAACCCGAUGCAAACUGCGAAUACCGGAGAAUGUUAUCACGGGAGACACACGGCGGGUGCUAACGUCCGUCGUGAAGAGGGAAACAACCCAGACCGCCAGCUAAGGUCCCAAAGUCAUGGUUAAGUGGGAAACGAUGUGGGAAGGCCCAGACAGCCAGGAUGUUGGCUUAGAAGCAGCCAUCAUUUAAAGAAAGCGUAAUAGCUCACUGGUCGAGUCGGCCUGCGCGGAAGAUGUAACGGGGCUAAACCAUGCACCGAAGCUGCGGCAGCGAACGUAUCACCCAAGACAACUUUACGGAGUUGACGAUUGACGGAGCGAAGCGACGUCAAAGCGUUCAUUAAAGUCGAGUUGGCUUAGGGAUACGUUCGUUGGGUAGGGGAGCGUUCUGUAAGCCUGUGAAGGUGUGUCGUGAGGCAUGCUGGAGGUAUCAGAAGUGCGAAUGCUGACAUAAG